rnacentral:lncRNA from 1 species
UUGUAUUCCCGGCCGCUCCGUGCUCGAUGAAGAUCGAACUCCUGGGAUUUACACAGACUUUUCAAUCUUCCGACUUUGAAGAGUCUUCUUGAUUAAUUCUCAAGGAUCGUCGUACGUCUCGUCGUCGUCUUUUCACCGUUCUUCUAUUCAUUCGUCCCUGAUUGGACUCCAUGGGGAUUGUAUUGUCAAAAGCUUCCACAUCACAACCUGCAAGUGAGGGAACAUAUC